GCACAUGGAAACUUUACUUUCCCUACGGUUUCGCAAUCCUAGGGACAAAUUGAAUUAACUUUUGUUUUCAUAGUUACUACUGUGCAAAAUAAUUAUUGCUCUUAAAAUCAAGCAUUCACACAUUGGACAUUAGUUUCAUCCACAUGAGCAGACAACACUUUUAUUAAGAUAUGAACAUUCAUGAGUACAUACAAAUUCUAGCUACAAGAAAAAUGAUCAAAAAUACAUUUGUCUGCCCGCUUGCCCAUUAAUUCGGUAUUCUUCUCUUAAAUCCAUAGAACAAAUCCCAACAAUUUAUGUCCUCACACGAGUAUAAUCCAUCCAAUGCAAGAACCUAAAACUCUCUACAGCUACUUGCUUGUACUUCUUGAAUCUUGAUGACUCUUUGUUCUUCAGUUCCGGAUCUACAGAGGAUUCAAUUAUUGAAGAAACCAAUAUCCAUCUCAAAAAGUAGCAAACAUCACACAUGUGAAUCUAAUCAAGAAGUCACUCAACCUGUAUCAUGAUGGAAGACAUGCUAGCAUCGGUGAAAGUUGAGGAAGAAGGCAAGGCAGCCAUUCUGCAGAAAUAAUGUUCAUAUUUGGCAAACUUUCAAUCAUCUUGCACAUUAUGAAUGGAAACAUAGACCUCUAACCAAGAUCCUUCGGUUGGGUUGAAUAAAAAGAUCAUUGAAAUAUGACUCAACCAACUCCAUCGAACAAUAAAUAAAAUCAGUGAUCUAGAUAAGAAAUUAGGUUAUAAUUUAUCUCAUGGAAAUGGCGGCUCACAUGAUCUUCAACUCUAUUCAAUUUAUGCUCCAGCCAUCUCCGAC
rnacentral:lncRNA from 1 species